AUCCUUGUGGUUCAGCAAGUGAUGAACAGGUUGAUCAUGUGAUCGCUGAGUGAGAUGUACUCCCUUUCAAUCUUGUUACGAUUAGCACAGCACCCUUCUGAUU